GGUGGCAUAACUGUCACUAGCCCAAGAGUCCGUUAUCUGUUUCCUGUUUGCCCUACUCCGAUUCCCACAGCAGGGGCAUGCCACUUUCAGGUUAUCAGUUUGAGAUCUUGUACAGAAAUGACUGACUCCAAGGUUAAAACUUUUAAAAACAACCUACGGCCCUUCUCAUCCCACUCAUAACACAGCCUUAGCCAGCUAGCACCCACCAACCACAUGUGACUCUGAUGCCAUUCCUUUGAAUCUACAACCACCCAGGAAAGGGAUGGAAUUUGGGGGUCACUACCCUCCUUAAUAAUAGGACUUAUCACCCUUGAAAUUAUUGAACUGGUAGCCACCGUAUUCAGGGAGCACGUAUGAUGAAUGACUGCCUUGCUCUCAACUCAAGGCAACAAGACAGUUGGAGUGAGGUUUUGAAGUCUCAGUGAAAAGACUUGUCAAUGGUGGAAGAAAAAUGUCAUCCUUUGUUUUGUGCUGGCGCUGUAGUCAGUACAUGGUGUAGUCUUGUGUGGCGGUAGUAUUCAAACUCACGGAAUUUCCAUCAGCAGAACAGACAUUGAACCUGUUCAGUGCUGACACAUUUUAGUUAGUGGUGUUCUUGAACACAGGUAGUGCACCCUCCGUUGUCUUUAUGGAUUGGUGGAAAAUGAAUCUACCACCUCUUAUUUUUAAAUUUGGACAGAAGAUCAAAUCAUAGCGGGAGAUCAUUCGAGACUGGUAGAUAAUAUUCUUUUGAUUGCCAGUGCACCUGGGCUGGUGAACAAAAUCCACAUUAAUGAAUCUGGUGGAAAGGAAAUGUAAGUGGCCACCAGCUUACAUCACAGGAAGUAGCACAUAGGAGUCAGCAGUUGUUUUAAGGUCAUUCAUAGUCCCUGACCUUAAUACAGGGGUAUCUUGAAAGCUGCAGGGGUAUAUGAAUUUUACAGUUUUGAAUAGAUCUGCUAGAUGAACUCGGGCAAAGGUGGCUGUGCACACCCAAAGGGCUGCUGCAGACUGUGGACCUGUGGCUGGAAUACUGAUCUCGCCUGAAGGCAAAGCCAAAUGAUAAAUGCCAGCCCCGAGAAUGCGGUAACCAUGACAGCCACUGGAAUGAAGAGGGGGUUGUAAUCGCCUUCCUUGAUCUUUGAGAAACUUCUGUCUGUCUCUGAAAGAGGAGUCAGUAAGGCAUAUGGUGAAGGAAUAUACUUUUAUGUAUUGGCAACUGUUCGUUUGCUAACGAUGAGGAAAUGAAAACUGAGUCGACUCAAAAGGAAAUGUACUGAAUAAACCUGGCAUACAGCCUUACUGUAAGGUCCGCUCUCCCCCUCCCUGCCUCCACCAGCACUCUACUCCAAACGCCCAGAGAUCUUCACUGACAGCUUCUUCGGGGCCCAA